UGCCCAGCAACUCCUAUUCCUACCUCCAUGUGGUACCGGCAGGAAACUAUGAGCGACCUUAGAGAAGAUAGGGUAACCAACCCCGGUUUGAUCGUAGACUGACAGGGAAGG
rnacentral:ribozyme from 1 species